GUCUAUAAAAUACCCAAAUUGAAUUAAAAUAAAAACCGAAGAUUGUCUAACAAGAAAAUGACAAUAAAUAUCAACAGAAAAUGAAAUUACAACCCCCAAAUAUUCGUAAACGGAAUAUGUAUCCACAUUAUCAUAUAACUAUAUAAGUAUUGCAAAACCCCAAAUCUCUCAAAUAAAUAAAUUAAUUAUUUUAUUUCAUAUACAAGCAACAAAUGACAAAAAAUGCCCACUAUAACUGUGAAAACGCACUGAACAUAAAAUAAAAAUACCAAUGAAAAUGGACUUAUUAUAGAAACCCCCCAUCAAAUCUCAUCCAACACCCAUGUUAUUGACUAUAUGUUUCAUCAUAUCGACUCUGUUCCAACAACACGGCUUCUCCUGCUCCGGUGCUUUCCGUUGCGGUGACGCCUCGGAAUCCCGCCAAAAGUGACCGGAUCAUGAACCCUAAGCCGCUGAGCCUCUGCGGGAAUCACCACACACUCAGGUAGAGCAACCUUGUACCUGUUCCGAUCAUAGCAAUACGAGUAUGUCAUGUGUUUCCUCCUGAAAACGCCCAUCUUAACCCUCUGCGACGGGCUAAUCUCCUGAGCCGCGCGGAUAUCCUCGUCUGCUCCUUCGUCGCACUUAGGAAACUGCUCAAUAGGGUCCACGGCGCAGCCAUGAAGGACUAAGUCAGUGAGCUGCGCGACAUAAGGGGCAUACUUGUAGUUUACACCGUACUUGCCACCGUUAGUUGCCCAUUUAGAACCGUCCCAUAUUGUUGUGUAGAGAGACAUCGGCUUUGAUGGGAAGUGACCUCCCAUCGACGCUGUUCGCUUCACCUCUCUGAUAGGAACGUUGUCUACAAAGAAUCUGCAUAACACAAAAGACGUACAAUUUUGAUCAGUUCCCACAAAAAAAUAAUAAGCUAAAAAGGAUUAUUUAUCCAAAAAUAAACAUAUUUGGUAAAAAAAAAUUAAAAAAAUUCUAUAAACAUAGUUAGAUUCUGUAUGAGUCAUCGAUGCCACUUUAGUGGAGGAAAUUACGAUCUAGAUCGAUACCAAGAAAACUUUAACUCACAAAAGAUAACAUUUUUAGCAUAAAACUCCAGCUUUUGAUGAACUAAGUAAAGAUUCUCAACAUGGAUUGGACCCCCCAAGGAAAAUACAACUCCGUAGGGGAUUUUUGUUGAUGCCAAAAAUUAAAAGCUGUAAACCAUUCUUGGGGCUCACAGACUUGAAAUCGACAGGAACAAAAGCAAAUGAUGUCCCAAGCAUCACAAAACUUUCCAUUAGAAGAAAUAAAAAUUUAAAUCCAUCAAGAAAUUAAAGCAUAACAAAAAAAAAACAUUAAGCCCCACUUGAAUUUUCCUUAAAAAGAAGAUGGCAUUGAAGUAUAUUAAACCAAAUGGGGUCAAGAACCUAACCUACUUUCAAUACUCUAAGGUUCUUUUAUUUUAUUUAAGACAAUCAAACAAACACAGAGAACUAACAGAGAAAUGGUUAUUUGGAGUUUUCCAUUUUAAAACUUACAUGAUGUGAGAAUCAGACCAGAGAAUACUAUAUUGAUGAUAAUCUUCAGUUGGAUCAAACCAUAGAUUAGAUCUCUCUUCUCUUCCCAAAUGAGUGCUUCCAUUACCGUAAAUGUUUGUCUGAAUCCUCCAUUCUUUUCCUCUAAUAUUACCAAGAAACUCAAAAUCAAUCUCAUCAUGAUUCUUCUCAUACAUAUCUCCAUUUGACAUCUGAAAAUAUUACAAAUCACAAAAAAAAACUACAUUAAGAUCCUAAUCCCAAUAUAAAUAUUGGUGAAAUUAAUCAUAUUUAUUAGAAAAAUAUAUUUAAUUGAUUAGUUCUAGCCAUACCCAACAGCUUUAAACUUAAGCUAAAUAUUUCACUUACAUAGAAGGCAACAACUACUCCAGCUGAAUAAUCAGAAGGUAAUUUGAUUGAAGCGCUGAAUAAUCCAUGUAAGUAUAGAUCAUUUGAGACAAACCCAGAACCUGUAAGGAGGAAAUAAAUUAAAUCAUCACUAUACUGAGAAAAAAGAACAACCUAACACAGAGGAAAAUUUUAAAAACCAUACCGGUCCUUUCAUCGAGCGUUAACCGGACAGAUUUGCCGUCUUUAUGAACGAACAAGUUCUUGUCACCAAAAAGCUGCGUGUAACUUUCUUCAAAAGAUGUGACUGGAAGAUUUUGCAGAGUGAAUCCCAGCAUCUUCAACCUCCUUACAUAUCUCUCUACACUUUGUCAAUCUCCCAGAAGCUAUACAAACGCUGAUCAUAUCGCGAAAAACAUCAUACGUUGGAGUAAAACCAGCUUCCUUGAGCUUAGAGUAGUAUCUCAUUGCUCUUCCCAAAUCAUCCAACGCCACAAAUAAUCUAAUGACCACUCUAUAAGCAGGAAGAUCAAGAAGACAGUUCGAUUCCUCCAUCUCCCAAACCAUACUCAUCGCCUCUCUAUACUUCUCUUCCGAAAACCUGCUGUGUAUCAUGGUAGUGUACAUCACAACGCUCGGCUCUCUGUUUGAUUCUUUGUACCAUUCAAAGAGACACUCAACGAGCUCGAACCUUUUAAGUUUCACGCAGAUCUUCAUCACGCUCGUGCAGUCUUGCUGGCUCAGCUUCAAGUCUUCUCUAUCUUUCAACUCGUCGAGGAGGGAAACAACGAGAUGGUACUUGUCAGGGUUUUUAGCGAUCUCUAGAAUCAUCUUAACGUAGAUACUCGAGUCGAGGACACGGUUGUUACUUUUAGCUAUCAGUAAAAGCUUCCUCGCUAGGUUCAGCCAACCGCCUUCGAUGCAGCCUUUGAUCAUGGCUUCGAUAACGCUCUUGCUAGCCAAGGUGUUGUCGAACUUGAGGAGCUUCAGCUCGCGGUGCUUGGCUAGGACCUGGAUGGUGGACGCGAGGAUGCGGUUAUCAGGAAAGAGAUGAGGAUGCUUCUCCGCCCAGCGGUAGGUCUGCAAGGCUCUCUCGGGCAAACCCAUGUGGCCGAGCUCGCGGAUGGUGGUGGAGAGGGAGCCUUUGCGGAGGAAGGUGGACCAUUUGUUGAGGACGAGAGAGACGUCUGCUUCAGGGGAAGGUAAGUGUUUGAUCUCUCUAGCUAAACUGAUGAGAAAGCUCGGGUCUUUUGAUGAUGAUGACACGAGUGGUUUCUUGAUGUUGUUGGGCUUUGGAGUUGGGAGGCCUAAAGGUCGUAGCUUGUGAGGCUGAGGAAGUGGUAGAGGCCUGACUCGAACCACUCUCUCUGGUUUCUGAGGGAUUCUUUGCUGGAAAAGAGAUGAGAUCGCUUCGAUUUCGUUUGGUUCCCAGACAUCAGGACUACCAUCAAGCUCUUGAUCUUCUUCUUCUUGUUCUUGUAGUGGUAACAACGGUUCUGUGAUGGGUUUCCUUAGGAACAAGUUGACACCGAACUCAGGAGGGAGUUUGGUGCGGCGUGGGUUACGGAGAUUCUUAGUGAGUUUCUUCUUUGCGUAGACUUUCGAUGUUGCUCGGAUACUGCUCGGUUGGAAGAUAAGUGACGAAGAGACAGGACAAUGCAUCAUCGUUGGUUUUCUAAUUCACAGUGAAUCAAACUCGAAUUGAGAGUAACCUAGCUUAAUUGAAUAGGGAACAGCUAGGGUUUUGAGAUAGAGAGAGAACACGAGGAAGAAGAUGAACUUUUUUUUUUUUUUUUUGAAUAAUUAUUUUACCCGACCCGCCGAUUUUUACCCGAUUCGAACUCACCCGAUUAGACCGGUCUGACCUGACCCGGUUCGGAAAGGCAAAAGGAGAAAAGAUUGUUUUCGGGAUAAGAACUAGCUGCGUGGCAGGACCUUUGGAAGCAUGUGGAGGUUUCCAGUGGGAAAAUAGCUGGCGGGACGGACAAAAAGCAUCGCCUAAAACAACACAAUGAGAACUGAGCUGAUGCCAGUUUUUCACAAGUCUUUAUCUCUUUAGAGAUGGUCCCUAAAAUGCGAAACUCUACACUGAUAAUGAGCUAAACCAAAUUUGUUUUUCUUUUCUUUUUUAGAUUUUAGAAUGAUUCAUAAAUUCGAACCAUAAACCGGUAAUUGUUUACUCCGACUAAUAAUUUUAUGUAAAUGUGAAAAGUACAAUGUAGUAUAUCAUUAUCGCCAGCACAAAGUUAUUUUCACAUGUUUUUCCUUAAUGUAAACAGUUUUUUUAAAAAAAUUACCCAAAUUUUGACAAAUUGAAACAUAACAACUACACAAGGUCAUGAGUCUCAUGACUUCUCCCCUAUGCUUUCGGGCCGACUUAAUGAUUGCAUAUAAAUUGUCAUCGCAUGUAUAUACUACAUAUAUGUGCAUGAACAUGGCCACACCAAAUUAAAUCGAAUAAUAUUCACUGGACCCCUUGGAUAAAACAAGCAGAAGAGAGACAAACUUUCGUCUAUAAAAUACCCAAAUUGAAUUAAAAUAAAAACUGAAGAUUGUCUAACAAGAAAAUGAAAUUACAACCCCCAAAUAUUCGUAAACGGAAUAUGUAUCCACAUUAUCAUAUAACUAUAUAAGUAUUGCAAAACCCCAAAUCUCUCAAAUAAAUAAAUUAAUUAUUUUAUUUCAUAUACAAGCAACAAAUGACAAAAAAUGCCCACUAUAACUGUGAAAACGCACUGAACAUAAAAUAAAAAUACCAAUGAAAAUGGACUUAUUAUAGAAACCCCCCAUCAAAUCUCAUCCAACACCCAUGUUACUGACUAUAUGUUUCAUUAUAUCGACUCUGUUCCAACAACACGGCUUCUCCUGCUCCGGUGCUUUCCGUUGCGGUGACGCCUCGGAAUCCCGCCAAAAGUGACCGGAUCAUGAACCCUAAGCCGCUGAGCCUCUGCGGGAAUCACCACACACUCAGGUAGAGCAACCUUGUACCUGUUCCGAUCAUAGCAAUACGAGUAUGUCAUGUGUUUCCUCCUGAAAACGCCCAUCUUAACCCUCUGCGACGGGCUAAUCUCCUGAGCCGCGCGGAUAUCCUCGUCUGCUCCUUCGUCGCACUUAGGAAACU
rnacentral:lncRNA from 1 species